rnacentral:lncRNA from 1 species
GGAAAAAUGUCCAGUUAUAAAAAUCAAUUGCAUUGUUAGUAUUUAUAGGUUACAAACAUGCUUUGUAGCGACUACACAGAUUUUAUACCAAAAAAUCCCGAGGAUCACUGGUCCGUUAUAAGAAUACCGUCACAAAUUGCAACCCAGACAACUCGUCCUAAUUAACACAUAACUGGAGAAUGAACGGCCGCGAUCCCACUCCACCCCCUCCACCUUUACCUUUGCCAAACCACCCUCCAAAUCGGGACGGGACCCCAGACAGGGGCCAAAGGGACAUGGGCGCUGGGGACUCGGGUCCGCACGUUCCCAGGGCCAGCGGUGACAGUCCCAGCACUGUGAACGAUCGCGAGGACAACGGGAGGGAGCCCCCUCGCUUCAUGGGCGGCAGAGGCAGAAGGAGGAGAUCUAGGAGGUCAGCUGAUAGGGGAUUUCGUCGAGCUGAUGUGAACGUAGAUCAGAGCGAUGAUCUAAACCGGGAUCCCCCCCAGGCGGGACCUUCCAAUUCGAAGCCAUCCCAGUCGCGUCCAGGAGGGUCUCGUGGCUAGUUCAUUCGUUUUUUUUUUCAUUUUAUCGCUAGUUUUUGCAUUGCAUUUAUUAAUAUUAAACGUAAAACAUCCGACCUAACGAAAUAUGUUAAAGAUAACUUCAGUUCAUUUUUAGUUUUUGUUUUGUAAUAAUUUUUCUUAAAGUAGAGGGUCAUGUGGUGUAAAAAUGAGACAUUUUUUUUAUAAACUAAAAGUGUAAAACAAUUAUAUUAAAUUAAAAAUGAAGAAAAAUAUGUAGUUAAUAAGUGAUAUUAAAAUAUUAAUAGUGUCACCUUAAAAAGAGGAACAAAAAAUACAAAUAUACCCAUUAACGAACUUAAUAUUUCUCAAAAUUAUUGAAAGAAGAACAUCUCCGCAGUCUAGUCAAGUCCCGUCCUGGAAAUUUGAUGGUGGUAAUUUUAAAACAUUAUUUAGAGUAACUACAGUUUCCAUUAGUCUCCGUAGCUGACUAAAGUUAGUGAAAGUUCCAGCAUUUAUUAAAUCUUUCUAUAUACCUGUUUGGUGUCUUCAAUUUUUUUUUGUUAAUUUUGAGUUGUGACUAUAAUUUAGUAAGUUCUCAGUAGUUUUAUUUGAAUGUGUCAUUUUUUACACCACUCGAUCCUACCGUUCAAUAAAUUAAAAAAAACGUAACCGUAGGCAUUGAAACAUUUUAACAAUAAUUAUUACAAAGUAAAAAUAACAAAGAGUGUUAUUUUUUCUUUGUAAUAAUUAUUAAAGUGUCAUUUGAUGAAUUAGAAACAUAUAACCGUAGGCAUCGAAAUUAUGUUUCAGUUCAAACCUUACUAAUGACUUAUUGAAAAUUACAAAAAUUUACCACAGAACACCUAAACACUUAUUACAAAUAAAAUUUUGGGUAGCAGUUACCAUAAAAAUCUAACUCUUAAUUAAAAAAAUAAUUCAUGAAAACUUUGUCAUCAAACGCUAUAAAAUAUACUUUGUCAUGAAAUUUGUAUAAAUUUUCACAUGUUUGUAUAAUAUAUUGUUUUUUUUUAAGUAUUUUAGAAAAUAGGGAAAUAUUUUUAAAGAAAAUUCAGGGCAAUAAUUUGCAAUAUUUGUCUAUUUUUCAGGGAAUGAUUUUUUAUUAUUUCUAUGCUUACCUUAACGUUGUUUUCAGACCGUUUAUUUACACGUACUAUAUAGUUUUUUAAGUUAAUAGUAUUUAAAACAAAGC